rnacentral:rRNA from 1 species
GACGAACGCUGGCGGCGUGCCUAAUACAUGCAAGUAGAACGCACAGUUUAUACCGUAGCUUGCUACACCAUAGACUGUGAGUUGCGAACGGGUGAGUAACACGUAGGUAACCUGCCUGGUAGCGGGGGAUAACUAUUGGAAACGCUAGCUAAUACCGCAUAAUAUUAAUUAUUGCAUGAUAAUUAAUUGAAAGGUGCAAUUGCACCACUACCAGAUGGACCUGCGUUGUAUUAGCUAGUAGGUGAGGUAACGGCUCACCUAGGCGAGGAUACAUAGCCGACCUGGGUGGGUGGUCGGCCCGACUGGGACUGGGACACGGCCCAGACUCCUACGGGAGGCAGCAGUAGGGAAUCUUGGGCAAUGGACGGAAGUCUGACCGAGCAACGCCGCGUGAGUGAAGAAGGUUUUCGGAUCGUAAAGCUCUGUUGUAAGAGAAGAACGGGGGUGAGAGUGGAAAGUUCACACUGUGACGGUAUCUUACCAGAAAGGGACGGCUAACUACGUG